rnacentral:lncRNA from 1 species
AUUCUGUGAUCAGCCUGAAGGGUGGUGUGUUAUUGUUACCAUUUAUUUAUCUGCUAGUUUUUGAGCAGCGAGUGGGAGAACUGCUCUGAUCUGAUUGAGGCCGUCAGUGUCAGGCUGCAUCUUACAAUUAGAUGAGCUUAGAUAAUGUCAGAAUAAUAAUUCUGGACUACCAGUUCUCACAGUAAAAAUAGCAUAUGGAGAUUUUUUAUUUUUUUCAGAAGAUUCGGUACAGCUGUUCCCAUGCUGCUUCAUUAUUGCUUCCUGCACAUAAAGUGCUUCCACUGUUUGGAUAUGAGCAGGUGAAGCAAGUACACAAUAUAAGAACUCCUAUUUGAAAACAACACGUAGCCUGCCUGCGCCAUGGAUUACAGAAGUGAGAGCAGUGGUGAUUAUGUGCUGCCUAACUCCGUGGAGGCCCUGAGAAGACUUGCUGAAUAUGUCUGCCCAGUUAACACAUGCUCAAGUUAAGAUUACAAUAGUCUAAUUCAUGAGCAUAGACGUUCCCAUUCAUCCUGAACAUGAGAAGCUUCCACAUACAUACAUGAUGACUUUUCUUGUAACUUACAGAUGUCUAGGCUGCUUUCUCAGAUAGUGAUUACAGGUUUUUGUUUUUACUGGACGUGUGAUAGCUCUCUCCCUUGGGCUUUUAGUCCUCGCUUUGGCAUCCUGACAUUAAUGAAGAACUGUUUCCCCCACAGCUUAAGGGACGGAGAAAUGCAGAAGAAUCCCACAGAGCAUACUCCACUAUUCAGUUUACAUUGCAAUACCAUUUUGUUACGCAUCAACAAACAUUUAGUAUGUCGUGCAGUAUGCUUAAAAACAGGUUGUGGCAGCAUCUAUAAAGAAAAUGUUACCUGA